GCGGCCGUGUUCUUGUCGUGCUUUGAGAGUUCAUUUCUUAAACUCGUUAGGGCUUUUUGUUUUUCUCAUUCUUCAGAAAGGCAAGAGUAAUUUCUCCCUCUACUGUCGGGAAUCUGAGAUUCUGUUACCCCCAGAGAGACGCUUUUCUGCAUCUUUUCCUUUCACACAUUUUAUUCUUCUGUUGGAGGGACUCCCUCCUGGUCCUUCGAGAAGUCUCGCCGCUUUAUUUGGUUUUAGUUCUGUUCUUUAAGGGAAUUCCAGCCCCCAGGUGAUCUUUAUUUCUCUCUUUAGAGGAUCCCCGCCCGCCUCCAUCCUCGUCCCCGGGGAUACUAGCCCAUCACCGCAGCGGUCUGAGGGAUGGAGCUUACCGGCUCUCGGGAAUCCCUAUCUCGAGAAGGCUCUUCCUUGCCUGGAGAGUGGUCUUCCUCCGCCCUCGGACAGGCCUUCUCCCAGAUCUUACACCAACUUACUGGCCAGGAAUCCCGGCGGAGCAAGGCCAGAAAUGCAGCUCUUCAGGACCUCAGUGCUCUACUAGAAGCCACAGAGUGUGAUACAUUAUUUGAGGGGAGUGACGCCUCGCUCCGUGGAAUGCCCCAGCUGCUGGGGCAGGUGGCAGAAGCCCUGGAGAAGUAUGCAGCCCCACCCAGGGAGUCAGAGGGGAGAGGUGAGCGUCACUCUGAAGUGGCUGAGAAAGCGGCUGCAGUUGGGUUGCUGUUUCUUAAGCUACUGAGGAAAGUUGAGGCCGCCAAGAAUUCCUUGGUUUGCCCUGCUUGGAAGACAGGCCUCCGUCACUUGGCAGGACCCAUCUAUAUUUUUGCCGUCACACACAGUUUGGAGCAACCGUGGACCAGCUCGAGCCCUCAGGACGUUGCUGAACAGGUGCUCGCCUUACUGCUUCAAGUUACUGAGUGUGGUUCCGUGGCAGGAUUCCUCCGCGGAGAAAAGGAAGAUGAGAAAGGGAGAUUUCCGACGAUAAUGGGGCUUCUCAAAUCCGAUUUGAAUAAGGAAUCCUGGAAGAAUAACCCUGCCACCAAACAUGUUUUCUCAUGGACUCUGCGAAAGGUCACCCGACCCUGGCUGAGCCAACAUCUGGAAAGGACACUUCCCCCAUCACUGCUUAUCUCAGACGACUAUCAAACUGAGAACAAAAUCCUGGGGGUUCGCUGCCUCCAUCACCUCGUGCUUAACGUGCCAGCCGCUGAUCUGCUCCAGUACAACCGGGCCCAGGUGGUAUACCACGCCCUUUUCAACCACCUGUACACACCGGAGCACCACCUCAUUCAGGCUGUGCUCCCGUGUCUGCUGGAUUUAUUCCCCAUCCUGGAGAAAGCCCUGCACUGGAAGGGAGGUGCGGCCCGACCCACCACACACUGUGACGAGGUCCUGCAGCUGGUCCUGACCCACAUGGAGCCCGAGCACCGCCUCCUCCUGCGCAGGACCUACGCGAGAAACCUGCCAGCUUUUGUGAAGAGGUUGGGGAUCCUAACUGUCCGGCACUUGAAGAGGCUGGAGCGAGUCAUCGUUGGUUAUCUGGAGGUUUAUGAUGGACCUGAGGAGGAGGCUAGAUUGAAGAUGCUGGAAACCCUGAAACUUCUCAUGCAGUACACUUGGCCCAGAGUUUCCUGCAGACUUGUGGUCUUCCUGAAGGCUCUCUUGAAACUGAUAUGUGACGUAGCAAGGGAUUCAAGCCUCACACCCGAGCCUGUUAAGAACGCUUUGUUAGAAGAGGCCACAGACUGCCUGAUUCUCCUGGACCACUGCUCCCGAGGACAGGUGAAGGGUCUCCUGGCUAACAUCCCCCAAAGCUGUGAAGACAGUAAGGUGGUGAGCUGUAUCCAAAAAGUGCAGCGGGUUACUGAAGGCGCUCCCUGUGACGGAACUUAAGACUUGUAUUAUUUUCCUCAAGAGGAGAGGAUUUUCUUCUCUUCCAGCUGUUUUAAAUGGAAUUAUUUAAGGAAAAAGCAUCUGAAGAGUCACUCUCUGCCUCCUGCUGUUCCAGGGCCUUGUCGAAGGCAUGAAUGGGGAAGUUGUAGAUGUCUCCGUACUGAACAAAGUAAACACGGGUGCCUCGACUCAGUCCACGAUGCAGAUAGCUGUGUGUCACUUACCGUGAGCAGGAUAUGCCGGGGAAAAGCACUGCACAAGGGGUUUGAAGGUGGCGACCUUACUCCUUUAUUCAGACUAUUGCAGCACAGAGCUAUUUGCUCAGCUGAGUUUGCUGGGUGAAGUGGAUUUACAGAUGACACUGAACAGUUUGCAGUAAGGUAGGGAGUAGUUAUAAAGAUGUAAACUGGUCAUUUAAUGGUUCAGUACUUCAAAAAAAGUUGUAGAACUUAAAAACCCAUGCUUUUUUCACAAAAAGAAAAAUGUUCCAGAUUUGUCAACCUUUUCUAAGAUGACAAAUGGCUGUCCAUAAUGUGUAACAUAGCAGAAGUUUAAAAAAAUAAAUACGACUUACUCUGUUUUUUUCCAAA